rnacentral:rRNA from 1 species
AGCCACUGCUAUGGGGGUCCGACUAAGCCAUGCGAGUCAUGGGGUGCGCUCUGCGCGCACCGGCGGAUGGCUCAGUAACACGUCGGUAACCUACCCUUGGGAGGGGGAUAAUCCCGGGAAACUGGGGCUAAUCCCCCAUAGGCCUGAGGUACUGGAAGGUCUUCAGGCCGAAAGGGGCUUUGCCCGCCCGAGGAUGGGCCGGCGGCCGAUUAGGUAGUUGGUGGGGUAACGGCCCACCAAGCCGAAGAUCGGUACGGGCCAUGAGAGUGGGAGCCCGGAGAUGGACACUGAGACACGGGUCCAGGCCCUACGGGGCGCAGCAGGCGCGAAACCUCCGCAAUGCGGGAAACCGCGACGGGGGGACCCCCAGUGCCGUGGCAUCGCCACGGCUUUUCCGGAGUGUAAAGAGCUCCGGGAAUAAGGGCUGGGCAAGGCCGGUGGCAGCCGCCGCGGUAAUACCGGCGGCCCGAGUGGUGGCCGCUAUUAUUGGGCCUAAAGCGUCCGUAGCCGGGCCUGUAAGUCCCUGGCGAAAUCCCACGGCUCAACCGUGGGGCUUGCUGGGGAUACUGCAGGCCUUGGGACCGGGAGAGGCGGAGGGUACUCCUGGGGUAGGGGUGAAAUCCUAUAAUCCCAGGAGGACCGCCAGUGGCGAAGGCGCUCCGCUGGAACGGGUCCGACGGUGAGGGACGAAGGCCAGGGGAGCGAACCGGAUUAGAUACCCGGGUAGUCCUGGCUGUAAAGGAUGCGGGCUAGGUGUCGGGUGAGCUUCGUGCUCGCCCGGUGCCGAAGGGAAGCCGUUAAGCCCGCCGCCUGGGGAGUACGGCCGCAAGGCUGAAACUUAAAGGAAUUGGCGGGGGAGCACUACAAGGGGUGGAGCGUGCGGUUU